rnacentral:rRNA from 1 species
UUGAACGCUGGCGGCAGGCCUAACACAUGCAAGUCGAGCGGUAGCACAGAGAGCUUGCUCUCGGGUGACGAGCGGCGGACGGGUGAGUAAUGUCUGGGAAACUGCCUGAUGGAGGGGGAUAACUACUGGAAACGGUAGCUAAUACCGCAUAACGUCGCAAGACCAAAGUGGGGGACCUUCGGGCCUCAUGCCAUCAGAUGUGCCCAGAUGGGAUUAGCUAGUAGGUGGGGUAACGGCUCACCUAGGCGACGAUCCCUAGCUGGUCUGAGAGGAUGACCAGCCACACUGGAACUGAGACACGGUCCAGACUCCUACGGGAGGCAGCAGUGGGGAAUAUUGCACAAUGGGCGCAAGCCUGAUGCAGCCAUGCCGCGUGUGUGAAGAAGGCCUUCGGGUUGUAAAGCACUUUCAGCGGGGAGGAAGGCGUUAAGGUUAAUAACCUUGGCGAUUGACGUUACCCGCAGAAGAAGCACCGGCUAACUCCGUGCCAGCAGCCGCGGUAAUACGGAGGGUGCAAGCGUUAAUCGGAAUUACUGGGCGUAAAGCGCACGCAGGCGGUCUGUCAAGUCGGAUGUGAAAUCCCCGGGCUCAACCUGGGAACUGCAUUCGAAACUGGCAGGCUAGAGUCUUGUAGAGGGGGGUAGAAUUCCAGGUGUAGCGGUGAAAUGCGUAGAGAUCUGGAGGAAUACCGGUGGCGAAGGCGGCCCCCUGGACAAAGACUGACGCUCAGGUGCGAAAGCGUGGGGAGCAAACAGGAUUAGAUACCCUGGUAGUCCACGCCGUAAACGAUGUCGAUUUGGAGGUUGUGCCCUUGAGGCGUGGCUUCCGGAGCUAACGCGUUAAAUCGACCGCCUGGGGAGUACGGCCGCAAGGUUAAAACUCAAAUGAAUUGACGGGGGCCCGCACAAGCGGUGGAGCAUGUGGUUUAAUUCGAUGCAACGCGAAGAACCUUACCUGGUCUUGACAUCCACAGAACUUUCCAGAGAUGGAUUGGUGCCUUCGGGAACUGUGAGACAGGUGCUGCAUGGCUGUCGUCAGCUCGUGUUGUAAAAUGUUGGGUUAAGUCCCGCAACGAGCGCAACCCUUAUCCUUUGUUGCCAGCGGUUCGGCCGGGAACUCAAAGGAGACUGCCAGUGAUAAACUGGAGGAAGGUGGGGAUGACGUCAAGUCAUCAUGGCCCUUACGACCAGGGCUACACACGUGCUACAAUGGCAUAUACAAAGAGAAGCGACCUCGCGAGAGCAAGCGGACCUCAUAAAGUAUGUCGUAGUCCGGAUUGGAGUCUGCAACUCGACUCCAUGAAGUCGGAAUCGCUAGUAAUCGUAGAUCAGAAUGCUACGGUGAAUACGUUCCCGGGCCUUGUACACACCGCCCGUCACACCAUGGGAGUGGGUUGCAAAAGAAGUAGGUAGCUUAACCUUCGGGAGGGCGCUUACCACUUUGUGAUUCAUGACUGGGGUG